CAAAUACAUAUCCGAUGAAGAGAGAUUGUAUUCAUACAUGUAUGCUAUAAUCACUUUAGAUCAUUUAAUAAAUACGAAUUUAAUACUUAUUAUUUACAAUUUUAAUUCUUAACAUAAGCGCACACGCACACACAUCAACUCAAGCACAAGAGCGAGUGCUAGAUGCUUUUUAUUUCGUCUUCAACCGUUCAUUUGAAUUUCAGUUGAUUUUGACACGGAUGUUGAAUGCGUCCGAAUCGAAACUGUUGAUUUCAAUUUUUGUGUUGAUUUAUAUUCGUUUAUUUUUUUUUUCGUUUACCUGUGGGAUAAAAGAGAAGGGUUUCCAGCUCAAUCUUGAUAAUACGCUCAAUCAUUUCUAAUUGAAUUUUCAGCCUUAAGUAUCGUCCACAACCAAAACAAAACAUAAAUCCAACAAUCAUAACAACUGUAACCACAUUUAAAAAGAAAAUACUACAAAAAAAAAAAUGAUUGAAAACUAAACCAAAAAAAAAAGAAACAGCAACAACCGAAAAGUUGUUUUUAAAAAAAUGUUGUGCUUUGACAAUAAUUUUAUAAAAUUUAUGUGAUAAAAUUUGUUGUUUGUUGUUAUUUAUAUCAAUAGUAUUGCGCUGAUGUUAAACGAAUGAUGCAUUGAAAUGAGGCGAUGUAACAUGUUAUGAAUUAGUAAAAAGUGAAAGUGAAGUUGAAUCGUACGGAAGUUUCUCUUCGCUUUUUGUUAUUGUUUCGUAAAUUUUCAUUUUAAAAAUUUAUUUUUAUCUUCAUGGUUUCAAAUGUUCCGUUCCAUAUUUUCUUUUCGCUGACAUUAAAGUCGACCAUUUGAGCUGAUCCACUGCGUUGCACAACGUGCAAUCAAUUCCAGUGUACAAAGGCAAAUCAAGAAUAUAUGCACCAUACUCAUUGAAUGAAAAAAAUCAAAAAUUCUAUUGAAGAUAAACGAAAUAAAAAUCUGUGAUAACCGAUGUGAACAAAUAAAUACCCAAACAAACAGACACCAAACAAUAGAAUAUCAAUAGCCG